rnacentral:rRNA from 1 species
GGUCAAUAGCCUAACGGCUGAACCAGCAACUUGAAGGAAUGUAUAGCGAAAGCUAGUUGUGCUUACAGUUCUAGGUUUCUUCCUAAAAAUUUUUAGGAAGAAAUAAGAAAAGGGUAGGUGCAAUAUUGACUCGAUCAAAUAAAGUUCUAGCUAGAGUUAUGAUGAUGACAUACUCUAUCUAUGUGUCUUGACCAAAUUACGUGCCAGCAGUCGCGGUAAUACGUAAAAGACUAGUGUUAUUCAUCUUUAAUGGGUUUAAAGGGUACCUAGACGGCUAAGAAAGCUCCAAAAGAGUACUAAUUAGCUAGAGUUUGAUGUAAAGAGGCAAUAAAGUACUGAUAGUAUAGAGAUGAAAUUCUACGAUACUAUAUAUGGCACUGGUAUUAGCGAAGUGCGUCCUCUUAUGUAAUAACUGACGU